rnacentral:rRNA from 1 species
AGAUUGAACGCCGGCGGCAGGCCUAACACAUGCAAGUCGAGCGGUAGAGAGGUGCUUGCACCUCUUGAGAGCGGCGGACGGGUGAGUAAUGCCUAGGAAUCUGCCUAGUGGUGGGGGAUAACGUUCGGAAACGGACGCUAAUACCGCAUACGUCCUACGGGAGAAAGCGGGGGACCUUCGGGCCUCGCGCCAUUAGAUGAGCCUAGGUCGGAUUAGCUAGUUGGUGAGGUAAUGGCCACAACGGACGACGAUACCG